rnacentral:lncRNA from 13 species
GGAAAAGCUUCUUUGCCGUUUCCAUCAGCAUCCUUUCAUUUCUCUCCUUAUCCUUCUCUUGGACUUUUUCUAAUUGGAGAAUGCUUGGUGCAAAAGAAAACAGCAGUCAGAAGUGUCGACUGAAGAGUCAAGGUGGCUGCUGGUCAGGCCUGGUGAUGUAUGUGCCCAUCUGCACGGGUUUGAGACUCUAUUCAGGCAUGUGGUGAAUUGAGGCCAGGUGGCCAAGGCCCUGGGGCAAAUUGGGCAGGUAGACUUAAAGCACAAACACAAAUACGCAGGAAUUUAUAUCUGUGCAUGACUUUGAGAAACUUCCUUGGAGGUGGGGUAGGAAGGGUGCAUUCUAGAAGGCGAGGGACUUGGUUUCCAGACUAAUGCUCUUUUUGUGGCCUUCGCAUGUAACAUGACUUUUCAGUUGUCUCACCUGAGAUAAAAAUGUUGAUCACCUCCAAGGCCCCUUGCUGCCCCAAUGCUCCAUAAUUAUGCCAUGCAAUUUUACCCUUCCACUGAAAAAGAUUCAUCACCCACAGCAGCUGCGGACGGCAGGCGGGUUGCUGAGCCCCCAACUUCAGCCUUCCUGGCGCUGCAAGGGACCUUGUAGGAAGCCCAGGGAAAAUGAUGGGGAAAGACCAGGAACAGAUGCUCCCUCGCAGCCUCAGAAGUAACUAACCCUGCAGACACCUUGAUGUGGAACUUUGCGCUUCCGGAGCUGAGGCAGGACAUUUCUCCGAAGCUGAGCGGAGACAGUACCUUUCCGCUGUUCUGGCUGUGCAGUCUGCGGUACUUCAUCACGGUGACCAGCAAAGCAAUAUGACUCUGUUUUCUAUGUUUGCAGGAUUCAGUGUUUUCUGUGACCAGGUCACCAAAUGAAGACUUAUUAUUAUUAUUUUAAUUUAUUAUUUUUUUGAGAUGGAGUCUCCCUCUGUCACCCAGGCUGGAGUGCAGUGGUGCAAUCUCAGCUCACUGCAAACUCCGCCUCCCGGGUUCAAGUAGCUGGGAUUACAGGUGUAUGCCACCA